rnacentral:rRNA from 1 species
GAUGAACGCUGGCGGCGUGCCUAAUACAUGCAAGUCGAACGAGUUCUGAUUAUUGAAAGGUGCUUGCAUCUUGAUUUUAAUUUUGAACGAGUGGCGGACGGGUGAGUAACACGUGGGUAACCUGCCCUUAAGUGGGGGAUAACAUUUGGAAACAGAUGCUAAUACCGCAUAAAUCCAAGAACCGCAUGGUCCUUGGCUGAAAGAUGGCGUAAGCUAUCGCUUUUGGAUGGACCCGCGGCGUAUUAGCUAGUUGGUGAGGUAACGGCUCACCAAGGCAAUGAUACGUAGCCGAACUGAGAGGUUGAUCGGCCACAUUGGGACUGAGACACGGCCCAAACUCCUACGGGAGGCAGCAGUAGGGAAUCUUCCACAAUGGACGCAAGUCUGAUGGAGCAACGCCGCGUGAGUGAAGAAGGCUUUCGGGUCGUAAAACUCUGUUGUUGGAGAAGAAUGGUCGGCAGAGUAACUGUUGUCGGCGUGACGGUAUCCAACCAGAAAGCCACGGCUAACUACGUGCCAGCAGCCGCGGUAAUACGUAGGUGGCAAGCGUUAUCCGGAUUUAUUGGGCGUAAAGCGAGCGCAGGCGGUUUUUUAAGUCUGAUGUGAAAGCCCUCGGCUUAACCGAGGAAGUGCAUCGGAAACUGGGAAACUUGAGUGCAGAAGAGGACAGUGGAACUCCAUGUGUAGCGGUGAAAUGCGUAGAUAUAUGGAAGAACACCAGUGGCGAAGGCGGCUGUCUGGUCUGUAACUGACGCUGAGGCUCGAAAGCAUGGGUAGCGAACAGGAUUAGAUACCCUGGUAGUCCAUGCCGUAAACGAUGAAUGCUAGGUGUUGGAGGGUUUCCGCCCUUCAGUGCCGCAGCUAACGCAUUAAGCAUUCCGCCUGGGGAGUACGACCGCAAGGUUGAAACUCAAAGGAAUUGACGGGGGCCCGCACAAGCGGUGGAGCAUGUGGUUUAAUUCGAAGCAACGCGAAGAACCUUACCAGGUCUUGACAUCUUUUGAUCACCUGAGAGAUCAGGUUUCCCCUUCGGGGGCAAAAUGACAGGUGGUGCAUGGUUGUCGUCAGCUCGUGUCGUGAGAUGUUGGGUUAAGUCCCGCAACGAGCGCAACCCUUAUGACUAGUUGCCAGCAUUUAGUUGGGCACUCUAGUAAGACUGCCGGUGACAAACCGGAGGAAGGUGGGGAUGACGUCAAAUCAUCAUGCCCCUUAUGACCUGGGCUACACACGUGCUACAAUGGAUGGUACAACGAGUUGCGAGACCGCGAGGUCAAGCUAAUCUCUUAAAGCCAUUCUCAGUUCGGACUGUAGGCUGCAACUCGCCUACACGAAGUCGGAAUCGCUAGUAAUCGCGGAUCAGCACGCCGCGGUGAAUACGUUCCCGAGCCUUGUACACACCGCCCGUCACACCAUGAGAGUUUGUAACACCCGAAGCCGGUGGCGUAACCCUUUUAGGGAGCGAGCCGUCUAAGGUGGGACAAAU